rnacentral:rRNA from 1 species
UACGGAGGGAGCUAGCGUUGUCCGGAAUUACUGGGCGUAAAGCGCACGUAGGCGGCUUUUUAAGUCAGGGGUGAAAUCCCGGGGCUCAACCCCGGAACUGCCCUUGAAACUGGAGAGCUAGAAUCUUGGAGAGGCGAGUGGAAUUCCGAGUGUAGAGGUGAAAUUCGUAGAUAUUCGGAAGAACACCAGUGGCGAAGGCGACUCGCUGGACAAGUAUUGACGCUGAGGUGCGAAAGCGUGGGGAGCAAACAGG